rnacentral:rRNA from 1 species
AUAAGCAUGCAGUCGAACGGGAUUGGGGCCCUUCGGGGCCUCAUGAGAGUGGCGAACGGGUGAGUAACACGUAGGUGAUCUACCCUUGGGUGGGGAAUAGCCCAUGGAAACGUGGGAUAAUACCGCAUGAGGUCUUUGGGCGUGAAGCCCAUGGAUGAAAGGAGCAAUUGUUCCGCCUGGGGAUGAGCCUGCGGUCCAUUAGCUAGUUGGUGGGGUAACGGCCUACCAAGGCGACGAUGAUUAGCCGGCCUGAGAGGGUGAACGGCCACACUGGAACUGAGACACGGUCCAGACUCCUACGGGAGGCAGCAGUGGGGAAUAUUGGGCAAUGGGCGCAAGCCUGACCCAGCAACGCCGCGUGAGGGAAGAAGGUUUUCGGAUUGUAAACCUCUGUCCUUGGGGACGAAGAAGUGACGGUACCCAAGGAGGAAGCUCCGGCUAACUACGUGCCAGCAGCCGCGGUAAUACGUAGGGAGCGAGCGUUGUCCGGAAUUACUGGGCGUAAAGGGUGCGUAGG